AGCGUAUAUUAAAGUUGUUGCAGUUAAAAAGCUCGUAGUUGAAUUUCGGGGUUAGUAGGUUGGUCAUGCCUCUGGUAUGUACUGGUCUCACUGAUUCCUCCUUCCUGAUGAGCCGUAAUGCCAUUAAUUUGGUGUUGCGGGGAAUUUGGACUGUUACUUUGAAAAAAUUAGAGUGUUUAAAGCAAGCUAACGCUUGAAUACAUUAGCAUGGAAUAAUGAAAUAGGACGUUCGAUCCUAUUUUGUUGGUUUCUAGGAUUGACGUAAUGAUUAAUAGGGAUAGUUGGGGGCAUUAGUAUUCAAUUGUCAGAGGUGAAAUUCUUGGAUUUAUUGAAGACUAACUACUGCGAAAGCAUUUGCCAAGGAUGUUUUCAUUAAUCAAGAACGAAAGUUAGGGGAUCGAAGACGAUCGGAUACCGUCGUAGUCUUAACCAUAAACUAUGCCGACUAGGGAUCGGAUGAUGUUAAUUUUUUAAUGACUCAUUC
rnacentral:rRNA from 1 species